GGGACAAAGGGUCUGUUCAGCCAAAGUUUAAAUAAUCUUUUGGGUAUGAGGGCUGUCUUAGAGAUGUUGCCAAAAUAUUGAAAUAUCGGAAGUCCCAUGCAGCUUUCUGUUGUACACACACACACACACACACACACACACAAUUAUGGCAGAAACAUUCUACAAACACACACACAGUCAGAGAGCCAUGGUUCUCUCCAGAGAAAGACUCAGGAGUUUGGGGCAGGAAAUAAGUUUUUCUAUUUAAAAUAUACUCCUGAAAGUACUUGAAAACUUUUCUUUUUUUUUUGGCCAUGCCUGUGGCACAUGGAAGUUCUCAGGCCAGGGAUCAAACUUGCACCAUAGCUGUAACCACAGGAACAGCAAUAGCAAUGCUGGAUCCUUCACCCACUGAGCCAUUAAUCUUGUUAAAAUCGACUUGUCUGAGACGUUGCUUCAACAAAACCAUUGCUUGGCUUAGUGUGAGUGACUCCACUCACUUUUUGGUUCCAUCAGUGUGGGGAGCACACCCCAGCAGGGUGUUUCAGACACGUCUUGGAGGCGGGAGAGGGAAUAAGCAAGAUCUCGACGGUUUUAAAGGUACGGCCCCAAGGAGAACAAAAACAUGAAGGCAGUGGAUGCCGUGAUGUAGCGCCCAGGCUCCCGUUCAGGAAUGAAGACUCAUUCCUCCAGCAGCUGGAACGUGCCCUGGAGGAGGAGCUCCCGGAGGACCCCCCACCUAGGACAGCCACCUCGCUGUCUGGGGCAGCCCUCAGCCUACGACUGAUCUGCUUUGGAGACGGAAAGAGGCCCAGCCCCCUUGCCUCAGCUUGGAACCAUUCCAUGGAGGAGGCAUCUAAGCUCACCCUCUGCCCAACCCCACUUUCUUCUUUCUGCCACAAGUGGUGAUCCUGGGACCACUCCUCAUACACCUGCUCCAAGCUCAUCUCCAUCUUAGGGCCUGCUUCUUGGGUGACCCAACCCCUAACACUUGGUACCAGGAGUCUGAGAAAACAGGUGCUGAGAUGAGAUUCGGGAGCUCAGAAGGUGGGCACUGAGAGUGGAUACAUGAGGCUGGAAAACCCACCAACUAACUCUGUUCCUUGGGGCAGCCCGGAGGAGACACAAUUUAGCAAAGCAGCAAGGCAUGUGCGGUGAGAAGGCCACCUGCCUCACACAGAAGCUCCACAAUGGCUCUCUGAUACAAGCCGAGAAAUGCCACGCCCGAGCUGGGCACACGGAUAGCAAUGGAAAUAAUAGCACGUUCCCCCAACACCCAAAUAGAGACUGGGUGACAGCAUUUCACCAUCAGCGGCCCAGGAGCACCGGCUCCCCUUUACGAAGGCUGGCCCGGCUUUCGCCGCUGUAGACCACAAAGUGCUAUAGCAGUCAAAGCCAAGGUGGCAUUCCCAGUAAGGUGCCCUUCCUGAGGUGCCCAGCCAGGCUUCUGGUGGUGAGUUGACUGCACUGGGCUGACUCCACUCUAGAAGGUGAAGCAGUCUGCUUUGGCAGGAAUAAAUUCACAUCUCAGGUAUAGGUUUGCCUUUUU
rnacentral:lncRNA from 1 species